UAGUGUGGAGGUAGUCUACUCUGACUUUGACAAUCCCUUGUCUUCCUCUCCCUCCCUAGUCACCACAGCAAUGCCCUUCAGGCAGUCAUAAAAUGCUUGUUAAAAUGCCACUGUACCACAUGAGAAUUAGCCAUUAUACCAAACGGGAAGCUAUAUUAUUUAUUCAUCUAUUCUUGGUAAGACAAAAGUUUAUUACACUGUACACUUCUUAAAUAAUAAUGAAUUCUAAUUUCAACAUUGAGUGUAGGAUAAGACAUUAAAUUAUGAAAAUAUUUUUUUGCAAUAUUUAAAGAGAAUAAACUACCAAAAAAAAAGAAAGAGGGUGUUGAAGGGUCUCACAGACAAACCACUCUCAGCAACGGACCGUUCGCGGUAACGGAAAACCCUUCACCUCCAAAGUGUUCAUUAUUGCGAGGCAUUCAAUAUUGCAAUUAAAAUAAAUAUAGAUAGAACUUGACAACUGGUUAUUAUGUUUUUACAGGGUUGCUUUUACUGGCUGAGUGAAAAGAAUUACACCAUCAUGUUGAGUGGACAGAUGAUGAUUAGUUAUCUGAGAGAGAGAGAGAGAGAGAGAGAGAGAGAGAGAGAGAGAGAGAGAGAGAGAGAGAGAGAGAGAAACUGAUUGUUGCCACUGGAAGAAAUUUCAUAUAAAAUUAUUAUUGUUAUGCACUACAUGUUAAUAAACUUGAGACACUGAUACAACUUACCAUCAAGCAAUCUUUUGCAAUGAAUUGUCUAUUAAUACAUAAUUCAUUUGAUGUUAUAACUUCAGUAUUCACUUGUUGAUUUCAGGCAUUCCAUUAAUUGGAAUUAUAAAAUAUUGAGCAAAUAUAUAGUAUAAAAGGAGUGUCCUGUAUUAAAAGGUCAACUUUGUAUGUGUAUGAUAUUUUAAGUUGGAACACAAUUUCUAACAUGUGAUGCCUCAAAUAAAUAUAGUGUAAAAGUA